UGGGCUCUGGGGGUGUAAUUUGGGGGCUGUGUUUGUUUUGGGUGCCCCGUAGGACUGUAGUGAGCUGCAUGAAGAUGUCCUGUGGGGCUGUACUGGAGCGUUGGGGUUGUAGGACCUGAAGUGGGAUGUAAUUUGGGGUUGUAGUGGUGUGAGGCUAUGCCUAUGGGGCUGUGGGACUGUGAAGCCCUGUGGGGUUGCAUUGGGUAGUGGACACUGUAGAGACUGGGAUAGGACAUAGUUUGUGUCUGCAAGGCUGUACAGGGGGGAUAGGACAUAGAUUGUGUCUGCAAGGCUGUACAGAAACUGGGGGAUCCAUCCCAAGUGGCUUUAGGGGGAUGCCCUGCAGGGCUGCAGUGGAUUGUAGGGUCAAGGGGAUGCUCCACGAGCUGUGUGGGGAAGGGGCUGAAGCAAAACCCAAGCAUGAUGUGACUUCGUCCAGCUCCUGCGCUGAUCCCUGUUGAAAGCAAGUGAGAGUGCUGCAACAAAAUCUGGCUGAGGAUGAAACAUUCUUGCAGCAGCCUUGGAGGCUAAACCUCAGCUGAGGAGGAACAAAAGUGAGGAGGAACAGCAAGUGCUUUGUCUCAAGACCCUUUUUUGGGACCUGAGGGAAUAGUGCUUCUACUGCAGCAGCACAGCAAAAACUUGCAUGUGAGGUACCAUAUUCCACAGCUCUACCUUUGCUGCUGCACUAACAAGGUUUUUUGAAGUUUGAGUUCUUAAUGUGGCAUUUAAAAUUUCACUUACCCAAAGCAUCCGUUUUUUUGUUAUUUUUUUCUUUUUCUUUUUUUUUUUCCCCCUGCGAUUUACCACAAGAAUAUUAAAGGAAAUAGUUUACUGUGGAUCUUGCUAAUAAUAUACUCCCUCCACCAGGAGAAAAUAUUCUACCUUGGCAUUUGGAGCCUCACUAACAAGCAGCCAGAGAGGAGCGAUGCCAUAUAAAACUGUAACCUCUAAAUAUGAAAUUUUGGAGAUCGCAACGAGCGGUGAGUGCCAGCUCCAUGCCGGCAGCAGGGAGGAGGCAGAGGGAACGCCAUCAGCUCGCUACUCGCUGCUGCACAGAGCACAUAACCCCAGGAGUUUCUCUGCCCGAUGUCCUGUUACCACUUGAAUCAAGAUGUGAAUGCCAAGCCAGCUUAUUUUUAGCAUGAUUUGGACCUAAAGAAGCAAACGCUGGUGAAAUACAUAGUACUGACAGCUCUGGAAAAUCUUUAUUCAUCUGCAGCACAGGAAGCAGGGAAGGAUGCAAGAAAGCAAAGCAAUCCCAAGCUACAAACGAAGUUUCCCUAGCACUGCACAGAUCCUGGCAGUAGCUGGGAGAGGGUUUUUCCACGCUAAGAGCAGGCCUGGCACGGCAGGGAGGAGUGCGGUGUGCCGCAGAUUUGGACAGCCUGCAAGCCUCCAGCUGAGCUGACUGCGUCUGUUGGAGCUCAACUGCAGCAGCAGCGGGGCUGUAAAAAUGGGAGAGACUCGGAAAACUUGAGUAUCUGAGCCCUGCUCUGCUAAGCUCUGUGAGUUUACUGUGUUAAUACAACAUUGGCUCUGUGCAACUGGGCGGUCCAAUGGUACUGAUGCUGCCCUGUACCACCUCUAGUAGUCACUCAGACCCUCUGCUCUGUGGAACAACCCAAAAAGAGGACACUUAUGACACAACCAUCAUGCCAAGCAGGCAUGUUCCUAGCCCCGUCUCUUGGGACAUUGCUGAAAUCCUCCAGUGCCUUUAGGCAUCUGCAGGACCUGAGCUGGCUGGGGACUUGUAGAUCCCUGCAGGCAGCAGUUGGCUGGAGUGGAGAUGGGGCCAUGAAGGGGAGCAGAGUAGCAAAAAUGGGUCCCUUUGGCUUUUGGGGCACAGCUAGGAGGUCCCUGGAUGUGUGCCGGGAACAGUAGCUGGGGUUGUUGAAGGUGGACCACAGGAGAUGUCCCUGCAUUUCUCUGCCAGGAGGAUGCACGCACAGUGUUAACACGCUUGUCAUCAGUAGAUCUGAAAUCUAACCACGGACAGCUCAGGGAUCUGACAAUUGUUUGUGUCUGCCUCGAGACAAAUAUCUCAUUGCCCCCUUUGCAAAUUUGCUCCUCUGCUGCGUGUGUGUUUCGAGUUUCCUCAUGCAAAACCUGCGUGGGUGUUUGGAUAUGUAAUGAGCACAUAGUUCAGGAUGAAAACAAGUUGCCUGGAAGAGCCAAGUAACGCCAAAAAAAUGAAAGCAAUACAAACAACAACAUGGCACACAGCCAUACCAGCUAGACCGUGGGCCAGCCGGAUCUCACGUACUCUCCGGAGCUGCAGAGCCGAUCAGCUGUUGGAAAAAGAGACCUUUAAAGACAAGUGAGAGGAAAUAGCAUUGGCAGUGCAGGUCACAGCAUGUUUCCUUCCAAAGCAGGACAGAGCCAAGGACAUGAGGCAGAGCUGUAACAUUCGGGGUCUCAUUGCUCAGCAAGUCAAAAACCUCCAGUGGGUUGUAGUUGUGUAAGCGCCUAUUGUUUUCUGAGCAGAAUCAGAGCACUGGUCUGAUUGGGUAUUGUCACAACAGAUUUUGGCAAUGCUUGCUCACCUAAGUGAGCUCCCUCUGCAAAACGAAGCCCUGGGUUUAACUCAGUGCUCCGUGUUGGGGAAAUAAACCUGCCUCUCUGACUGGAGAGUAUCUUCCAACACGUCCCAUAGCAACUUUGAGGAAAAGCACCAUUAGCCUAUGGACCAGAGCAAUUCCAAAAAAUUCCCUGAAGUGGCCUCACUAAUUAUUAUCUCAUUUUGGUAACGUGAAUGAGGAAAAAAUAGUGGUGAAGUUGUUUUGAAUUGCAUUUUCUGCAGAGCCUGAAUGAAUUUCUGUAUAGAAAGGGGGGUGAGAGCAGGCCUCAAAGACAGGUUACGUAAUUUUUCCCUUGCCCUCAUCCAUUUGGAGCAAGGGACCAUCUGUACCUCCUUAUAACACAGAGAAACAGUACUUCUUUCAGCCUAAGAAAAUAGGUCUAGUUGUGUAGACUCUGAGCUAAGCAUCUGCUCUAGCCCAUUCACUUAAAUACCUGUCUGAGAACUCUUCACCAGCUCUUAGAGCACCUGUUUAUUGGUUAAAGGCUCGAAUCAGUGAAAGCUCACUGGCAAUCUGGAAGGUUGAAAGGGGCCUUAAAUACCAGAGCUUCCAUAUGCAUAUUGGCAUUUUUCUUUGCAUAAAUGCCAGCUUUAAAAGGCUUGUUUUACAAAGCACAAACACAGUUCUAUGAUGAUUUUUUUUAUUUUUUUUUUACAUCAAGGUCAGUAACUCGGCUUCAUUCAUCAGUCUCCAGCUGCAAACAUGUCCCAGACAAUGGAGGAGAGUGUAUGUGAGCCAGGAAGUGCCGUUUAAGGGGAUGUGAGUGGCUCUGAACUGCACUGGGGAAAGAGGAUCUUGGUACCCUUGUGCACUUGGCCCUUCACGAACUGAAAUAGGGCGCUUGAGGGCAGGAAAAGCUGCUUAGGUGGCACAAAUAACACUCGCAUUUGGUGAGCUUCAGUAAAAGGCACCUCUCAAAUGUCACCGCUGUGCUGUCGACUCUGGUGUGAUGCAGCCAACAUUGUGCUCCUCUCCACAAAGGCAGUGAGCGCUCUUAGGAAGCAGACAAGAUAAUCCCAGCUAAAAAUACUUAUUCUUCCCCUGGGAGGUGCAUGCAUCCUGUGCACGGUGCUCUCACGGGGACGUGCUUGCACACCCAGUGCACUCUGCUCAUCUUUCACUUCCGUGCUUCUCCUCCUUCCAAGUGAAGUGCUUGGGCAUUGUGAUUAGUGCUCUGAAUCACCCAGAGAGGAUGCUCCGUCCUGUGUUUCAGAUGCAAAAUGUGCCUUGGAAUUCAAUUGUUGCUAUAGUGCUGUAAUUACACGUUUUAUGGAGUAGUUAGUCAGAAUGGCUAGAGCUCUUGUUAUUAGGCUUGGACUCCUUCUGCUUUAUUUUAAAGACCUCUCUGAUAAACAUCUACUCUCUGCAUUAAAAAAUUUUUUUCAGCUUUUGUGUCCCUUCAAACGUAGCCACAAUUCAUGGCUGAAGGAAAAUAGGUCCCCAGCCAUGUGGAGGGACAGAGUUUGUAGCAUGCUUUUUGCAACAUAGGGGUUGUGGUGCUCUGGCACUGGGUGCUCCAAAAUGUUCCUCAAAGUCAGCUGCAAUGACACCAGCUGAGUACUUCCAGGAUUCGGGAGUUCUUGAGCACUGAUCUCAGCGACUUUGCUGUCUGUGGUUUGGAGAGGACUUGCACAGCCUGCUCAGGGCACCCAUACCAACCAGGAUCCUCUUCUUCCCUUCAGCAGUAUGGAGGAAGUGGACUCUUCGGAUGCUUCUUCUAGAAGAUGGCAGCCUACCACAAUGGGACACGGUUUGAUCCAGGAGUUUUCAGCAUGUUGUAGAGAAGCGUUUCUGUUCCCUGGGAAAACAGGAUAGCUACAUACCCAGCAGGUGGCUUCACUUCUCAGCACACUCAGCUUCUCCUGCUCCAUAGGAAGCUGUUUCCCAGGAGCCGCAUAUGGGCAUGGACUGGUUCAUGAGCCUAUUCAGAUACUGCUUGUUUCUGUGGCUUGGUGAUUUUGCAGUCUGCUUCUUAGGAAGAGGAAGGAGACAAAAGCCCUGUGACUGCUGAAGGCUUGAGACAGAUUCAUGCUUAUGAGCAGUCAUCCAUGUGGAUUUGGCAGCCAGAGCUCAGAGGCUUGUGGGCUGCCUGAGUGCCAUCCCUGCUACUUUGCCAACCUGCUGCCACAUGCAUAGACUGACUGAGGGGCUCAGGAAUCUCUCCACAUAGCUGAGAAAGAGGAGAAGAGGGACAGGAGAGUGACCCAAGUCAUUAUGUCCUUCAGCACGGGCACCUCGAAUUGCCCAGUCCAGAUUUGCUCAGUGUGUGUUGGAGGAGGGCAAGAUCCUUCUUUGUCAAAAGAAGCAUUGCAAAUCUCAAAAUGGAAGAAGCCUAAGAGCAUGCUGGAUAUGGAUACGACCCUACAUGUAGCCCAGCAAGGGCUUUGCUUAUGGUUCACAACUCUCCUGCGUGCUUUUGGAGCACUUACAACAGCCAGCUUGCAGCCCUGCCCCUUCCCAGGAGUAUGCAGCUCCAAGGAGAAAAAUAACUAACUUCUUGGAAAAGAAUACAGCAAGCAAAAAAUGUGAGUCAAGACAGAUUUGCAAGGGAAAAGGAAAGGUGGUAUGAAGAAUAACAACAAAACACUGAUUGAUACUACAGAGAAGUUUCAGGGAGGUGAAAGGUUUGCAAAAAUGCCAGCUUGGGAAGUAUUAGAGAGACAGGUCUAUCUGUGGAAUACGAGAGCCAGAUGUAUACCUCUUCUGCCUGAAAUCAUCUAGGCAAAGCCAAAGGGGGUAGCCACAAAAUGCACAGCUCAGAAAGUGGCUGGGUAACAUCAGGAACCAAUUGAGGUCUUGGGCAUGGGUGGACUGGAGGUGCCAAGCCUGCUCACAGAUACUGCUCGGAUGGGUGUCAUGUCAAGAAUGAUUCAAGCCACCCACAGCUCCUGCCCGCUUAGACCUUGGCUUCCCGUGCUGCCUGCAAGAAGCAGUCACGUCUCCUUGUGUAGGCAUCUAGAGUACACAGCAAAGCAAAACCAGCUGAAGAUGAAGUAAAGAUAAUUCCAAAAAAAAGAUUGGAUGUAUUAAGCAAGAAUAGCAUGUCCUCCAGAUUGUUGAAAGAGGAAAAGAAGCAACAGUGGUGACCUUUUAUAAGUCAUGGAAAACGAAGGAGAUAGCCGGGUUCUUGGGAAAGAGGUCAGGAAAUGGAAGGCAGAGCAAUGGAAAUUUCUACCUGGCAACACUGACUUUGGUCCCAAAUACAGCAAAGGAAAAGGCAGGACGUGACAUAAAUCUCUGACUGUCUAAAGGAUGAAAGAAUAAUGAAUGUUUAUCCACAGGGCUAUAAAAAACAUGAAGAUGGAGAGAUUUUUUAUCAGUCUAUGAAAUGAGUGGUUGUGAGAAUACAGUGGAGGCAAUAUUUCGUCUCAUUUGUGAAGAAUUUGAUGCACUGUCUCAACACAGCACUUUUCUAAAAUUAAUUUGGCUUGAAUUUAAACAUCACGCACGCUGAACAUCGCAAUUUAAAGGUCCUCUCAGAUGGCCAUAUGAUAUCUUCCUCCUGGAUAAAGUGGAAGUGUUAAUGACCCCAUCCCUCUGUUGAAGCCUUCUUUCUGCAGACACAAAACCGCUGCAUUCAUCUGCCUCCGCCAACCACAGUGCAGAUAAGACUCAGCAAAACACCGCAUCCUCCAGGACGGAGGCGGGGAAGUGAGAAAGCCAGCAAGUGAGUCAUCAAGCCUUACGGGCAAAAUCUGCCUGGUAUUUGUGGUGUGCAAGAGAAUAGCCAUGCGAGGGGCUUUAAGCUCACACUGGUCCUGCAGGGCCACUUGACUCUGUCCAGGGAUCACUGUGUGUCAUCAUUCAUCAUCAAGAACUUAAAGUCUACUCUAACCCCCAGUACGUCCUUGUCUCCCUCUCUUCUUCUGCAGUGUGGUAGUUCCAGGAGCCAUCUCUGCUGGCUUUCUAUCACUGAAGUCUUCUGAGAGGAGAGAGCAUUGGUUUGUGGCUGAAAUCCUAAGCAUGUAAAUGUAGGCCAUGAUGCAAGAGAAACUGGCUUUCCAACUGUGCAUGGCAAGAAUGCCCCCUCAUUAAGGGAUCAAAGUGCUAUCCAUCGAGACCGCCUCUUGCAACAUGCUGAAGACCUGAUUAUGGUCAUUUUUCUCCCUGCUUCUACUGCAUGCCUGAGAAAGGGACACGGUAAUUAAAGUUUGAAUCUCAUUAAAUCUCAGAAAGUGCUUGGCUUUCUGAGAAUCCAAUUAUCACAAAUGCUAUGUAACGCCAGUCAGGGCACAGUUUGUUUUUGGAGUUUGAAAUUAUUCUUGUUAAACAUACAAAUAUGGUAUGAAAUCAAAAUUUGUAGAGUAUGUUGAAAAUCCAAAGAAGGUGCAGCUAAAAAAAAAAAUCAAUUUAAGGGCAGAAAAAAAUACCUUGGAGAGGGAAGGAAAUGCUGCAAGAGCUUCACUCACCAGUAAGAGAAGGGACAGAGCAGGGAAGCCUGAGCAGCAGGAAUUACCCUCAUUGAGCCCAAGGGCUUCCAAGGAUACCGUGCCUGGGUCUGGAUGAGCACCCCAUCAAGAUAACAAGCUCUAGCUCCUGGAUGGUGACCUGAGGCAUAAGGCCAGAUGAGCAAUGAACUGUCAUGGCUUAACCAAAGGAGUGGCCAAGCUCUGGAACAUGCUGCCUAAGAGGGUGGUUGAGUCCCUGGAGGCAUUCAGGAAUGUUUAGAUGUUGUACUAAGGGACAUGGUGUAAUGAGGAAAUGGUGGU